UACGGAGGGUGCAAGCGUUAAUCGGAAUUACUGGGCGUAAAGCGUGCGUAGGCGGUUCGUUAAGUCUGUUGUGAAAGCCCCGGGCUCAACCUGGGAAUGGCGAUGAAGACUGCAAGGCUAGAAUCUGGCAGAGGGGGGUAGAAUUCCACGUGUAGCAGUGAAAUGCGUAGAUAUGCGGAGGAACACCGAUGGCGAAGGCAAUCCCCUGGACCUGUACUGACGCUCAUGCACGAAAGCGUGGGGAGCAAACAGG
rnacentral:rRNA from 1 species